GAUUGUCUUGUCCAACAUGGGUACUGCUUGGAUGAUUUCCAUCUUGGAUAUUCAUUUGAGUUCCCUGGAAGGACACAUCCACACAAGCCUUUAUGGAGACACCCAAGCAACGAGAGUGGUACUGCCACAAUUCUUCCGGGGAACUACCCUCGGCGUCUCAGCCUCAAGCUGCACAGCUUUGAAUCUGAGUCUCUACUGAGCCUUGCCUCACAGUGGGCCAGUCAUGGAAUCCGUGCCUUGGCUUUUCCCAUUGUUUGGUAUGUGACCCAGGAAUUUUCCUUUCCAUUUGUAUCUUAGUAUGUUCAGUCUUUGAUAACAACAUGCCACAGACUGCGUGGUUUAUAAACAACAGAAAUUUAUUUCUCACGGUUUUGGAGGCUAGAAGUUCAAGAUCAAGAUGUCAGCAUAUUCACUUUCUGGUGAGGCUUUCUUCCGAUUCAUAGCUGGGGUCCUCUCCUCGUACCCUCAUGUGGUAGAAGGGGCAAGGGCAUUUUAUGGGGUCCCUUUUAUAACAACACUCAUCCCAUUCAUGAGGGUUGCACCCUUAUGACCUAAGCACCUCCCAAAGGCCUCACCAACUAAGAAAGUCAUCCUCAGGGUGUUAGACUUUCACCAUAUGAAUUUAGGGGGCACACAGACAUUCAGACCAGAGCAACUGGGUUUACGUUGCAAGCAGCUGAAUGAGUCCUGCCCAAGAUCUUUAAGAGCUGCCUGACAAGAAGCAGGCACUCUAUCAACAGUCAGUUCCUAGCAUGGGACAUGUCCACAGAGGGGCAA